rnacentral:rRNA from 1 species
GGAUUACUGGGCGUAAGCGCACGCAGGCGGUCUGUCAAGUCGGAUGUGAAAUCCCCGGGCUCAACCUGGGAACUGCAUUCGAAACUGGCAGGCUAGAGUCUUGUAGAGGGGGGUAGAAUUCCAGGUGUAGCGGUGAAAUGCGUAGAGAUCUGGAGGAAUACCGGUGGUUGAAGGCGGCCCCCUGGACA